UGGGGAAUCUUGCGCAAUGGCCUAACGGCUGACGCAGCGACGCCGCGUGAGGGAUGACGCUCUUCGGAGUGUAAACCUCUGUUGCCCGGGACGAAUAGCGGAUUAUUCCGACUUGACGGUACCGGGUGAGGAAGCACCGGCUAACUCCGUGCCAGCAGCCGCGGUAAUACGGGGGGUGCGAGCGUUGUCCGGAAUCACUGGGCGUAAAGGGCGCGUAGGUGGUCUUGUAAGUUUGUGGUGAAAGCCCGGGGCUCAACCCCGGGUCUGCCGCGAAUACUGCGAGACUCGAGUACUGUAGAGGCUGGUAGAAUGCCGGGUGUAGCGGUGGAAUGCGUAGAGAUCCGGCAGAAGACCGGUGGCGAAGGCGGCCAGCUGGGCAGUUACUGACACUGAGGCGCGACAGCGUGGGGAGCAAACAG
rnacentral:rRNA from 1 species